AAAUAUUGGAACAUACAAAUAAAGAAACAUUUGCGGCCUGUUACGCAGAGUAGCUGUUGACAUUAUAGUUGUGCAGGAACUUUGUUGACUCUAGAGAACCUCGGGCAAAUCACACAUCCCUGUGGCGGCGACUUUGCAUGCGGUUGUCAUCCAUAUCAACUUUCGAUGCCAGUUUCUGCGCCUACCAUGGUGAACACGGGGAAUCAGGGUUCCAUUCCGUACAUGAACCCUGAGAAACGGCUAACACAUGCAAGGAAGGCAGCAGGAGCGUAAAUGACCAACUCCCGACACGGGAAGGUAGUGAU